GUGUUUUCUUUGGCAGCGCAUACACUAAAAUUGGAACUACACAGAGAAGAGUAACAUGUCCCCUGUGUAGGGACGACUCCCAAGCUCAUGAAGCAUUCCAGUAUUUU